rnacentral:rRNA from 1 species
UACGAAGGGGGCUAGCGUUGUUCGGAAUUACUGGGCGUAAAGGGCGCGUAGGCUGUGCUGUAAGUCAGGCGUGAAAUCCCCGGGCUCAACCUGGGAAUUGCGUUUGAUACUGCGGCGCUGGAAUGCAGGAGAGGAUGGCGGAAUUCCCAGUGUAGAGGUGAAAUUCGUAGAUAUUGGGAAGAACACCGGUGGCGAAGGCGGCCAUCUGGCCUGUAAUUGACGCUGAGGUGCGAAAGCGUGGGGAGCAAACAGG